CUCCCAAACCAUGUUUGUUAACCAGGGUUAUCAAGGCGUCGCCUAGGCGACGCCUAGUCGACGCCUAGGCGUCCGGUCGGUCAAGACCGUACGCCUAAUGUGCUCGCCUCGCCUA